rnacentral:rRNA from 1 species
CCUACGGGUGGCAGCAGUGAGGAAUAUUGGUCAAUGGUCGGAAGACUGAACCAGCCAAGCCGCGUGAGGGAUGAAGGUACAGCGUAUCGUAAACCUCUUUUGUCAGGGAACAAAGACUGGCACUCGUCCCCGGAUGCGUGUACCUGAAGAAAAAGCAUCGGCUAACUCCGUGCCAGCAGCCGCGGUAAUACGGAGGGUGCGAGCGUUAUCCGGAUUUAUUGGGUUUAAAGGGUGCGUAGGCGGUCGUUUAAGUCAGCGGUCAAAGCCCGGGGCUCAACCCCGGCCCGCCGUUGAAACUGGAAGUCUUGAGUUGGAGAGAAGCAUGCGGAAUGCGCGGUGUAGCGGUGAAAUGCAUAGAUAUCGCGAAGAACCCCGAUUGCGAAGGCAGCAUGCCGGCGCCAGACUGACGCUGAGGCACGAAAGCGUGGGUAUCGAACAGGAUUAGAUACCCGAGUAGUC